AUUGAACGCUGGCGGCAUGCUUUACACAUGCAAGUCGAACGGUAACAGGUUAAGCUGACGAGUGGCGAACGGGUGAGUAAUGCAUCGGAACGUGCCCGGUCGUGGGGGAUAACGCAGCGAAAGCUGCGCUAAUACCGCAUACGACCUGAGGAUGAAAGCGGGGGACCGUAAGGCCUCGCGCGAUCGGAGCGGCCGAUGUCAGAUUAGGUAGUUGGUGGGGUAAAGGCUCACCUAGCCGACGAUCUGUAGCUGGUCUGAGAGGACGACCAGUCACACUGGGACUGAGACACGGCCCAGACUCCUACGGGAGGCAGCAGUGGGGAAUUUUGGACAAUGGGCGCAAGCCUGAUCCAGCAAUGCCGCGUGCAGGAAGAAGGCCUUCGGGUUGUAAACUGCUUUUGUACGGAGCGAAAAGGCUCUCUCUAAUACAGGGGGCUCAUGACGGUACCGUAAGAAUAAGCACCGGCUAACUACGUGCCAGCCGCCGCGGUAA
rnacentral:rRNA from 1 species